UCGAUCUUAGGAGCUUUAACUUCUCCACAGAUUCCAUGCCCUGCUCCUUUGAAUGUCCAGGCUGCUGGAAUUGAUACACAGAGGGGAAUAGAAGAAAUUUUUCAUAUAAAAAGCAUUAUUCACAAUAACCAAGAGAUGGAGGAAUACAAACCAAUACAAUACCAAUGGAUGAGACCAAGAAAAUGUGAUACACACAAGUGGAGGGACACCAUUCUGUCUUAAAAAGUCUCAGACAGGAGUAGUCCAGGAAACAUAAAAAUAAAAAAUUUUAAAAUGAGAAGGAUUUCCCCCAAAUGCCUUUGUUUCCAGGACAUUUUCACAUUGAUACAUCAUUGUGAACAGAUUUUGAUGGGUUUUCAGAGCCUCCUUCACAGUCAGU
rnacentral:lncRNA from 1 species